rnacentral:lncRNA from 1 species
CGAACUCCUGACCUCAGGUGAUCCACCCGCCUUGGCCUCCCAAAGUGCUGGGAUUACAGGCGCGAGCCACCGCGCCCAGCCUACACCACUUUUAGUACCAACACUCUUGGGUGAUUUCAUGGACCCUAAAGCAGACCUGACACUGAUCCAGAUUUGCAGUCCAUUUUUAAGGACACCUGUCUUUAUUUCCUCAAAGUCAAGCAGCUUUCUCUGGAAAAUGAAUGCUAAUUAGUGUGAACCAAAAGAGUAAGUAAGAGUCUGAAGUUUUUUUAAAGGAGAAAGCUUAUUAUGGAAAGUCACUGGUCCUCCCCUCCGCACAGGAAAGGUACCCAGUAGAUAAUGAACCAAAUUAAGUUCCCUCCCUCCAGCCAGAAGUUAAACAUCUGGGAUAUGACGUCUUCAUGCCAGGGGCACUCAUUUCUUAGCAGCCUCUCUACAUACAUCUCUCAGGUGGUGCCAAGAGGCACACCAGGUAGAGCAAACUUAGCAGCUCUGACUAACAGGCUGCAAAGUGCAAGUUCAGAUUCUGUGGCAGAGAUUUGGAAGGCACCCACCUCCAGACUGCUUCCCGUCCAAGUUACCAGGACAGCUCAAAAACAUGCUGACAGAAAACUCCCAUGGCUCUAGGAAGAAGUGACACUAAGCCAACACCUUUCUUUAUGUGGGAGCAGAAUCAGCUGAUGAAGGGGUGGGCAGCAGUGUGGGGCAGGCACCCCACUGGCUGCAGCUAGCCCACCAUAGGCACAGCACAUCCCACCACUCUCCUUCCAGUCCUGACCAGGCCCCAGCCGGCAACUUCUACCGAGAGCCAUGGCUCAACACCAAACUGGACAGUAGACAUCAUGAUCCCUCCAGUUAGCUCUAAUUACAGACCCCACCAGUACAGCUUGACAGCUCCCGGCACCAUCCCUUCCUUCAUCUGACUUAUUGAACUUUUACAAACUAACAGUCACCAGCACCAAAGAAUUAAGUCAACUAACCUGCCUUGAAUUUUAGACCAGCAAUCCAUAUGGCUUUAUCUGGUAUAAAUCUUCUGCCUUUGAUCAUUUCUGGACCGUAGGAAAAAGGAAUAGCAAUCAUUAAAAUCUUGGGCCAGAGAACACUAUUUUUACAUAACAGUUUCUUAACCUAAAGUCAAGGCCUUGGACUCUUCCCUGAGGGUUGCCUGAGAUUCCUUCAUGCUUUCUAUUCAGGACUAAGUCCCUUACUGCAAAUGUGUUAGCUCUAACAUCUCCCACAAGCUAGAGGAACUUGCGAGUAUAUUAACAAGGACACAUCUGACAUCCUGUGUUUGGUUAGAAUAUACAGCACAUUGUGAUAACAUAAAGUGGAUUCAUCUUGUAUCAUUAUAGGCAGAAGGUAUUUGGCAAAUUUUUAUGUAUUGUUUUAUGUACUGUACAAGUAACUUAUUCUUGAAUAAUGCAAAUUUUGCUAUAAUGUACAAAUUGCUAUAUGUGAAUUAAAAAGUUUUCAGAAUCUU